CGAACAUAUCACAUUGAAACACCGAUUCCCGUACGAUCACUGAAGUUAAGCAACGUCGUGCCUGGUCCGUACCGAAAUGAUUGACCGGUUGGGAAUACCCAGUGCU